UGCCCUUUUCAUUUUAUAGCAUGCAUGCCU
rnacentral:piRNA from 1 species